rnacentral:rRNA from 1 species
AGAGUUUGAUCAUGGCUCAGAUUGAACGCUGGCGGCAGGCUUAAUACAUGCAAGUCGAACGGUAACAUAGCGAAAGCUUGCUUUUGCUGAUGACGAGUGGCGGACGGGUGAGUAGUAUCUGGGAAACUGCCCUGAAGAGGGGGACAACAGCUGGAAACGGCUGCUAAUACCGCAUAAGCCCUUUGGGGGAAAGGAUAGCGAUAUCCGCUUCAGGAUGUGCCCAGAAGGGAUUAGCUGGUAGGUGAGGUAAAGGCUCACCUAGGCGACGAUCUCUAGCCGGUCUGAGAGGAUGACCGGCCACAUCGGGACUGAGACACGGCCCGGACUCCUACGGGAGGCAGCAGUAGGGAAUAUUGCACAAUGGGGGGAACCCUGAUGCAGCCAUGCCGCGUGUGUGAAGAAGGCCUUCGGGUUGUAAAGCACUUUCAGCGGGGAGGAAAUUAAGUUAGACGUUACCCGCAGAAGAAGCACCGGCUAACUCCGUGCCAGCAGCCGCGGUAAUACGGAGGGUGCGAGCGUUAAUCGGAAUAACUGGGCGUAAAGGGCACGCAGGCGGGCUGAUAAGUAAGGUGUGAAAUACCGGGGCUCAACCUCGGGGCUGCAUUUUAAACUGUCAGUCUAGAGUAUUGCAGAGGGAGACGGAAUUCCGGGUGUAGCGGUGAAAUGCGUAGAUAUCCGGAAGAACACCGGAGGCGAAGGCGGUCUUCUGGGCAAAUACUGACGCUCAGGUGCGAAAGCGUGGGGAGCAAACAGGAUUAGAUACCCUGGUAGUCCACGCCGUAAACGAUGUCGAUUAGGAGAUUGAGCAAAAGCUUGGUUUUCGGAGCAAACGCGCUAAAUCGACCGCCUGGGGAGUACGGCCGCAAGGUUAAAACUCAAAUGAAUUGACGGGGGCCCGCACAAGCGGUGGAGCAUGUGGUUUAAUUCGAUGCAACGCGAAGAACCUUACCUGACCUUGACAUCUGAGGAAUGCCUGAGAGAUUAGGCAGUGCCUUCGGGAGCCUCAAG